rnacentral:rRNA from 1 species
GUGGGGAAUCUUCCGCAAUGGACGAAAGUCUGACGGAGCAACGCCGCGUGAGUGAUGAAGGUCUUCGGAUUGUAAAGCUCUGUUAAUCGGGACGAAAGAGCCUAGUGUGAAUAAUGCUAGGAAGUGACGGUACCGGAAUAGAAAGCCACGGCUAACUACGUGCCAGCAGCCGCGGUAAUACGUAGGUGGCAAGCGUUGUCCGGAAUUAUUGGGCGUAAAGCGCGCGCAGGCGGAUCUGCCAGUCUGUCUUAAAAGUUCGGGGCUUAACCCCGUGAUGGGAUGGAAACUACAGGUCUAGAGUAUCGGAGAGGAAAGUGGAAUUCCUAGUGUAGCGGUGAAAUGCGUAGAUAUUAGGAAGAACACCAGUGGCGAAGGCGACUUUCUGGACGAAAACUGACGCUGAGGCGCGAAAGCCAGGGGAGCGAACGGGAUUAGAAACCCUGGUAGUCC